CAGCGUCCCAAACUUUGAUACUUAUCUAAGCAAACAACUCUCAACUCUCCUCAACCAGCUCUAGAAGGCAGGUGCCCGAGAUAAGGGAGAUGGGAGUUCUCCCUUUCUCUAAUCCAGUCUCAACUGACCACAUGACACCAUCGCUCUCCCUGGAUAAGAAGCCGCUUUCAACUCGGAGACUGUUUCCAUCCACCACGGUACACCUCCUCCCACCCGAUUCCCCAUCUGCUGGCUCACCACCGUGAUUAACCACAAGGUGUUCUAUUUUGGCUAAAUUGAAGGUGGCACGAUCCUGGGAUUUGAGACGGCUUCAGUGACUGGGCAGUUUUUCUUAGGAGCAGCAAAUUAUUGAAAGAUCAUUCAGAAGUAGCACAGGGAAAGCAGAGAUGCUGUGGGGGCAGAGACAGUUGCUCCACAUUCAAGGAGAUUUGUUCUGUUACUGUGUAAACCAGCCUUAGGCUCAGCUCUUUGUCAUCAGAGAGCGCCUACUUCUAUAAUUACUUUUCUCUGUUUAUCAGGGAAGCCCUUGAAAAGGAACGGGAAGAAGUAGAGCAGGGAGGAGUGCUGGAAGCAAAGAAUAAAGAUGAAGCCUGGGUCCUGUUCCUGUUCCUGAUCUUCUGUUGCUAUAACAAAAUACCCAUGACUAUGUAAUUUAUAUAUACAUUAAAAAAGAAAGUUUAUUUGGC